AUGGAUGAGUCGGUGUUGGACAAUGGUCCCACCUCAUUUAAAGAAGCCAUACAAAGUGAAUUUUCAUCUGAAUGGCUCAAUGCUAUGAAAGAUGAAAUGAAGUCCAGGAGCACUAGUGAUGUAUGGGACUUAGUAGAAAUUCCUAGAGGAGCCAAAACAGUUGGAUGCAAAUGGGUCUUUAAGACCAAAUGUGACUCCAAAGGGAAUACCGAAAGGUUUAAAGCAAGGCUUGAGGCAAAAGGUUUCACUCAAAAAGAAGGGAUUGGUUAUAAACAAAAAAAAUUCACAUGUCCCUUCUAA
rnacentral:rRNA from 1 species